GUGAUGGAGGGAGCCUGGACACAGGGAUGCAGUGGCCCACAGAUUUCCUAACUUUGUGAAGAAGCUGGGCAUCUGAAAGAGUCCAUAUGAGGCAC
rnacentral:lncRNA from 1 species